CUUAAUCCAAAUAAAAUUAUAUUUGUAGUUAAUAAUAAUUAAAUUUAGUUUUAUUAUUAUAGGCCAAGCAUAAUAUUAAAAAAUAAAAUUAGUUUCUUAUUUAUAAUUUUGAUAAAAAAAUUAAAAAUGUGAGUGUAAUACCAAUUAUUUGCCUGGGCUCACAUAAUAAACCAAAACCAAAAAAAGUAAUAAACAGGCCUGUACAAAACAAAGUACAGCCCAAAUCUUUAAAAUACAAGCCCAAUUAAAAUGGCCCAACACUAAAAUAAAAACCCUAAUCUUCAGAAGCAGCAACCCUAGCCGUCGCCUUCAAAUGGUUCCAGCAGACUUCAAGUGACGUACGAUUCAGAACCAGGUUCCUCCACGCGCCCUGCUUCUCCACUGUCGUACCUGCAACAAACACGAGUAGCGAAUAGUACGCAAAUAGGAUAACAGAUUAAGAGACAGGAUUUUUGGGGAUUCAUUUGAUUUUAGUUUGUGUUUUCGGCUAUAAAAGGAGCCGAUUGAUUGAUUUAAAGGGGGAAUUUUCAGUGUAAAAAGAUACGAAAAAGCACAGAGAAAAUACAGAUUUAGAACUCUUUUUUUCAAAGGUGGUUUUUUUAUUUUAUUUUGCAGUGUCCAUUUUAUUUGCAAACGUUUUUUUCUUUUUUUUUUCAUUAUUAUUUCGUAAAAUAACAAAGAAAAGAAGGGAAGAAUACUUACCUGUUCGUCAAGGUCGCCACGCCACCACCAUCUCCGCCGUCAUCGGAGCUUUGGUGAAGAGGUAGACGGACGACGGCGCGGAAUGGGUUAAAAGAACCCUAGCAGAGCCACACUUUGUUUUUUUAAAAAGAAACCAAAUGAUUUUAUUUUUUUUCUUUUUUUCAAUUUUGUUUCAUUUAUGCAGCACAUGAAACGGCGCCGUUUUAAAUGGCCAGACCCGCACGGUGACCCGACCCGGUGGGGAGGAUCCGCGCGUUAUUGCCUUGAACGGUAUAAUUUCGCAUUUAGC
rnacentral:lncRNA from 1 species